rnacentral:rRNA from 1 species
UACGUAGGGUGCGAGCGUUAAUCGGAAUUACUGGGCGUAAAGCGUGCGCAGGCGGUUCGUUAAGUCAGAUGUGAAAGCCCCGGGCUCAACCUGGGAACUGCAUUUGAAACUGGCAGGCUUGAGUGUGGCAGAGGGGGUGGAAUUCCACGUGUAGCAGUGAAAUGCGUAGAGAUGUGGAGGAACACCGAUGGCGAAGGCAGCCCCUGGGCUAACACUGACGCCUCAUGCACGAAAGCGUGGGGAGCAAACAGG